rnacentral:rRNA from 1 species
GUAGCGAAAGUUACGCUAAUACCGCAUACGAUCUACGGAUGAAAGCGGGGGAUCGCAAGACCUCGCGCGAUUGGAGCGGCCGAUAUCAGAUUAGGUAGUUGGUGAGGUAAAGGCUCACCAAGCCAACGAUCUGUAGCUGGUCUGAGAGGACGACCAGCCACACUGGAACUGAGACACGGUCCAGACUCCUACGGGAGGCAGCAGUGGGGAAUUUUGGACAAUGGACGCAAGUCUGAUCCAGCCAUUCCGCGUGCAGGAUGAAGGCCCUCGGGUUGUAAACUGCUUUUGUACGGAACGAAAAGGUUUCUCUUAAUACGAGGAGCUCAUGACGGUACCGUAAGAAUAAGCACCGGCUAACUACGUGCCAGCAGCCGCGGUAAUACGUAGGGUGCGAGCGUUAAUCGGAAUUACUGGGCGUAAAGCGUGCGCAGGCGGUUAUAUAAGACAGAUGUGAAAUCCCCGGGCUCAACCUGGGAACUGCAUUUGUGACUGUAUAGCUAGAGUACGGUAGAGGGGGAUGGAAUUCCGCGUGUAGCAGUGAAAUGCGUAGAUAUGCGGAGGAACACCGAUGGCGAAGGCAAUCCCCUGGGCCUGCACUGACGCUCAUGCACGAAAGCGUGGGGAGCAAACAGGAUUAGAUACCCUGGUAGUCCACGCCCUAAACGAUGUCAACUGGUUGUUGGGUCUUCACUGACUCAGUAACGAAG